AUGGAUGACCUCAGUCUUUCUUCUAAUGAGGAAAAAGGGGAGGGUGCAGGAAGUAAUGACCAGGCAACAGAGGGUGUAACAUCACUGGAAGGCCAAAUGAUUCCUCCUAGUGAGCGAUCAGAACAAGAAAACCAAAUUUUUCUACCAGAGCCUUUUGAAACUUCAGGUCCAUGCAAGGAUAAUGGUCAUGGGGCUACAGAGACUCAUAGUGAAGCCACGAUGCAAAGAGGAGAAGAAGAACCUACCGGAGACACGGUGGAGUAUUUAGGUUUAGAUGACUCAUGGGGCACACCUGGGGAACGAAAGCGAUGCUCUACUGCCCCUCACCUUCAAUGGGCCAAGAACGUGGUGAGUGAGAUCCUGGGUCAAAAGUCAGCGGACACAGAAAAUACAAAAGGUAGUGUGACACACAUAGACAUUCAAACCAACACACAAACAGGGGGUGCAAGAGAAAUGGACAAAUCAAGGAAAGAGGAAGAAAUAAUUGAGGGAGGAGAAGAACAGCAGAGAGGGAUAGAGAGAGAGUUGAAUGAGAAAUGUGACUGGCUGGAUCCUAGUUCUAACCAGCACAACCAGGCUUCCUCAGAAGGAGAGGCAGAGGAGAUGGUAGUAGAAGUAUCUAAGAAUAAAGAUAGUAUUGAGAAGGUUGUUCUAAGCUCUAGUAGUUUUCAUGAUUUGGGGAAUGAAGCUCGCAUGAGGAGGCGAGGGUUCCGAAAGUCAGCGGAAAAAAACAAAGAAGAGGAAGAGGAUGAGGAAGAGGGAGAAGGAGCUGGAAGGGAUCGAAGGACAAGAAUAUUCAACAACUCAGAUGAUAAAGAGGAUACAUUGUGUUUAACCAGGAGUGAAACGGAUAUAAGGAACUGUGGGAGGACAAAAAAGAGGAAUUCUAAAUUCUUUAGUAAGUCUUUGUAUUAUCUUUAUCUGGAACACAUUGCUGAUCUUUGUACAUGGCUAUAA
rnacentral:lncRNA from 1 species